rnacentral:rRNA from 1 species
UACGUAGGGGGCAAGCGUUGUCCGGAUUUAUUGGGCGUAAAGAGCGUGUAGGCGGCCUGAAAGGUCAGCUGUGAAAACUCGAGGCUCAACCUCGAGACGUCGGUUGAAACCAUCUGGCUAGAGUCCGGAAGAGGAGAGUGGAAUUCCCGGUGUAGCGGUGAAAUGCGCAGAUAUCGGGAAGAACACCCGUGGCGAAGGCGGCUCUCUGGGACGGUACUGACGCUGAGGAGCGAAAGCCAGGGGAGCAAACGGG